AUCCAGCUGAUGAGUCCCAAAUAGGAGGAAACGAUCAUCAAACUGGAC
rnacentral:hammerhead_ribozyme from 1 species